AAGGCCUUAGCUUAAUUAAAGUGUUUGAGUUGCAUUCAUAAGAUAUGGGAUAGAGUCCUGUAGGUCUUA
rnacentral:tRNA from 1 species